GGAUCAGUGGCGAACGGGUGAGUAACACGUGAGCAACCUGCCCUGGACUCUGGGAUAAGCGCUGGAAACGGUGUCUAAUACUGGAUAUGAGGCGUGAUCGCAUGGUCAUGUUUGGAAAGAUUUUUCGGUCUGGGAUGGGCUCGCGGCCUAUCAGCUUGUUGGUGAGGUAAUGGCUCACCAAGGCGUCGACGGGUAGCCGGCCUGAGAGGGUGACCGGCCACACUGGGACUGAGACACGGCCCAGACUCCUACGGGAGGCAGCAGUGGGGAAUAUUGCACAAUGGGCGCAAGCCUGAUGCAGCAACGCCGCGUGAGGGAUGACGGCCUUCGGGUUGUAAACCUCUUUUAGCAGGGAAGAAGCGUGAGUGACGGUACCUGCAGAAAAAGCGCCGGCUAACUACGUGCCAGCAGCCGCGGUAAUACGUAGGGCGCAAGCGUUAUCCGGAAUUAUUGGGCGUAAAGAGCUCGUAGGCGGUUUGUCGCGUCUGCUGUGAAAUCCCGAGGCUCAACCUCGGGCCUGCAGUGGGUACGGGCAGACUAGAGUGCGGUAGGGGAGAUUGGAAUUCCUGGUGUAGCGGUGGAAUGCGCAGAUAUCAGGAGGAACACCGAUGGGCGAAGGCAGAUCUCUGGGCCGUAACUGACGCUGAGGAGCGAAAGGUGGGGAGCAAACAGGCUUAGAUACCCUGGUAGUCACCCCGUAACGUUGGGGAACUAGUU
rnacentral:rRNA from 1 species